rnacentral:lncRNA from 1 species
CAGUGAUCCUCAAUAAGUGUUUGAUGUGUCAAAAAAUAUGAUUCUUACUAUAUCUGAUUCUGGCUAAUACAAAAUAUUGCAAUUUUAUUCAAGGAAUGACUGUAAUAUUUUUUCUGUCUAGGAAGAAAUAACAAAAAAAGUUUAAUGCACACUGAAUAAGGCGCGUAGUGGGUUAUUUAUUAGUGUGCACCACAUUUUGUAUGUUAUUCCAAAUGGACAGAAAAAAUAUUACAGUCAUUUCUUAUAACUUAAUUCUAAAUUCCAUUUUAAACUGUAUAAAAACAUGAAAAAAGUUGAUGAUCACAGUCACAUGACUAAAUUAUGUCUAUGAGCAGAUAACGAAAUUAUG